rnacentral:rRNA from 1 species
GUGGGGAAUCUUGCGCAAUGGGCGAAAGCCUGACGCAGCCAUGCCGCGUGAAUGAUGAAGGUCUUAGGAUUGUAAAAUUCUUUCACCGGGGACGAUAAUGACGGUACCCGGAGAAGAAGCUCCGGCUAACUUCGUGCCAGCAGCCGCGGUAAUACGAAGGGGGCUAGCGUUGCUCGGAAUUACUGGGCGUAAAGGGCGCGUAGGCGGACAGCUUAGUCAGAGGUGAAAGCCCAGGGCUCAACCUUGGAAUUGCCUUUGAUACUGGCUGUCUGGAGUUUGGGAGAGGUGAGUGGAACUCAGAGUGUAGAGGUGAAAUUCGUAGAUAUUCGGAAGAACACCAGUGGCGAAGGCGACUCACUGGCCCAAUACUGACGCUGAGGCGCGAAAGCGUGGGGAGCAAACAGGAUUAGAAACCCUAGUAGUCC